UAAGACGAACCGAGCGAACGUUGUUCGGAAUCACUGGGCUUAAAGGGCGCGUAGGCGGGCUGUCAAGUUUGGGGUGAAAUCCCGCGGCUCAACCGUGGAACUGCCUCAAAUACUGACGGUCUCGAGGGAGGUAGGGGCGAGCGGAACUGAUGGUGGAGCGGUGAAAUGCGUUGAUAUCAUCAGGAACUCCGGUGGCGAAGGCGGCUCGCUGGACCUCUUCUGACGCUGAGGCGCGAAAGCCAGGGGAGCAAACGGGAUUAGAUACCCCGGUAGUCCUGGCCCUAAACGUUGAGAACUAGGUAGUGGACUAGACAUGGGUUCACUGCCGAAGCAAAAGUGCUAAGUUCUCCGCCUGGGGAGUAUGGUCGCAAGGCUG
rnacentral:rRNA from 1 species